GGGUAACCUGCCCAUAAGACUGGGAUAACUCCGGGAAACCGGGGCUAAUACCGGAUAACAUUUUGAACCGCAUGGUUCGAAAUUGAAAGGCGGCUUCGGCUGUCACUUAUGGAUGGACCCGCGUCGCAUUAGCUAGUUGGUGAGGUAACGGCUCACCAAGGCAACGAUGCGUAGCCGACCUGAGAGGGUGAUCGGCCACACUGGGACUGAGACACGGCCCAGACUCCUACGGGAGGCAGCAGUAGGGAAUCUUCCGCAAUGGACGAAAGUCUGACGGAGCAACGCCGCGUGAGUGAUGAAGGCUUUCGGGUCGUAAAACUCUGUUGUUAGGGAAGAACAAGUGCUAGUUGAAUAAGCUGGCACCUUGACGGUACCUAACCAGAAAGCCACGGCUAACUACGUGCCAGCAGCCGCGGUAAUACGUAGGUGGCAAGCGUUAUCCGGAAUUAUUGGGCGUAAAGCGCGCGCAGGUGGUUUCUUAAGUCUGAUGUGAAAGCCCACGGCUCAACCGUGGAGGGUCAUUGGAAACUGGGAGACUUGAGUGCAGAAGAGGAAAGUGGAAUUCCAUGUGUAGCGGUGAAAUGCGUAGAGAUAUGGAGGA
rnacentral:rRNA from 1 species